rnacentral:rRNA from 1 species
UACCAGCUCUCCGAGUGGUGUGGAUGUUUAUUGGGCCUAAAGCAUCCGUAGCUGGCUGGGCAAGUCCCCUGUUAAAUCCACCGAUUUAAUCGUUGGUGUGCGGGGGAUACUGUUCGGCUAGGGGACGGGAGAGGCCGACGGUAUUUUCGGGGUAGGGGUGAAAUCCUAUAAUCCCGGGAAGACCACCAGUGGCGAAGGCUGUCGGCUAGAACGCGCCCGACGGUGAGGGAUGAAAGCUGGGGGAGCGAACCGGAUUAGAUACCCGGGUAGUCCCAGCUGUAAACGAUGCAGGCUAGGUGUUUGGGCGGCCACGUGCCGCUCUAGUGCCGCAGAGAAGUCGUUAAGCCUGCCGCCUGGGGAGUACGGCCGCAAGGCUGGAAACUUAAAGGAAUUGGGCGGGGGAGCACCACGAAGGGGUGAAGCUUGCGGUUU